UGUGCGCUUGUCGGCAGCCAGUACCGUCCGCUUCAUAUCUUCUGGAGUUUCGACUUCGUUGUUGUGGCGCCGUUCACAAGCGACGUACACUGGAGCAGCCAUGGUGAAGAUUUUCAUCGGGAACCUGUCUCCUGAAGCUGACAAAGAUGAAGUGGAAGCUCUGUUCACUCAGUAUGGCACAGUGACAGAAUGUGCAAAGUAUAAAAAUUAUGCUUUCGUGCAUAUGGAAGACCGCAAGGCAGCCAACAAAGCCAUCGCAGAGCUUGAUAAAUAUAAGCUGAAUGGGAGGCCCAUCAAUGUUGAGCCCAGCAGAGGAAAGAACCAGGGCCCUGUGAAGCUCCACAUAGCCAAUGUAGAGAGGGGCUUCGAAAAAGAGCUCCGCGACCUGUUUAAAGAGUAUGGCACGGUCACAGAGUGCUCCAUUGUAAAGGACUUUGCCUUUGUGCACAUGUCCAAUUCUGAUGAGGCCAUGGAUGCCAUACAGGGACUGGAUAACACUGAGUUUCAAGGAAAGCGCAUACAUGUUCAGAUAUCAAAAAGCAGACCUAGAGGAGGAUACGAGGAGAUGGGGGACUAUCCUCCACCACCACAAAGAGGAGGCUAUUAUCCCCCUCGCUAUCCAGGGGACAGGCCCGAGCCUCCUUACAGGGGUCGCAUGCCUGCUUACCCUCCUCCACCUCCAUCGCCCCCUCCACCAAGACGAGCGCCCUAUCCCGACCGUGGCUAUGGCGAGCGAGAAGGCUAUGGGGUGGUUGAUUACUAUGAGAAAUAUAGAGCCCGUCCAUACAGCACAGGGGGUUACGAUGACAGGCGUUCGCGUGCCAUCCCCCCUCCUCCUCCUCCUCCCUCUGCACUGGUUAGAGAACGACUCGGGAUGGAGACCCCGUACGAUCGCCGGCCGCUCCCCCCUCCUCCUCCAUCCUACAUGGUCAGGGACCGAAGCCCCAUCAGACGAGCCCCACCACCACCUCCUCCGCCAGCGGGUAAUGGGUACCCAUAUGAGCGCUCCCGUCUAUCCCCGCUGUCCAGACCCCAUAUGUACGCGCUGCCCCGCCCCAGGGACUCCUACACAGACAGAAUGCCGCCGCCCCCACCACCACCUCGCUACGCGGGCUAUUAGGCACACAAGUACAACACAAGGUUGUUAGACUCUAAGCAGGAGACGCCAGUGCAUGGUAAGUGACCCUGGGAAGAUGUGCAGCGUCCACCAAAGGAGAGGUAUGUGAUGUUUACAUUUUAAUUAAAAAAAACACCUUCUACUAAUGCAAUGAACCGUCUCCUGCCUCCCUCUUUCAUACCACUGGGUUCCCAUUAGCUGGGAACACAACUUGAGAGAAUUCCCACUAAGAAAACAUCUUAUGUUUUUACUCUUUAAUAGAGAAUCUGAAAGUUUUUUUUUUUCUUAAAUGACCUUUACAAAAAAAACUUUUUUUUUUCCCCCUCACUGUUUUUUAACAUUUCAUGAUGCUUAAUCCACCGUCCUAUCUGUCCUUUAAAAAUCAGUCUAAGGCAAUAUGCUUCCUGUUGUCUUUAACAGUCAAAAGGAUUUGACUUCUUUCUCCUUUAAUUGAUUUUGAUGCAUGUCAUUUCAAGCUAAUGGAAAACAUACACACCUAUGUUAAUGACUGAAGGUAAGUAUGCUAACUAUCUCUACCUGUCCACAGACCUCUCUCAGCUCUGGAAGCUGUAACAAAGCAGGCGUUGGAAAAGACAGAAUCAGAUGGUCCUUCGUUCUAAAGGACGUGGAGUUUGGUCCAAUGGUUGGUGAGCGGGAGGUUCCAGUUGUCAGAAAGCCAGCAGGAUGAUCUCUCUGCAGCUGUUGAUACGAUUAUAGAGGCCGUGAUGGAGGACAAUGAACUCGUCAGUCUGACCGAUCGGAUUUGUGUUGAUUCUUUUUUACUUGAGUCAUACCAAACUAUAUAUAUGUAAAGUUAAAGGAAAGCAGACCCCUUAGUGUCUCACAUACUAAGAUCAUGUAACCAAACCCCCUCUGCCUUUUUCUUACUGAACAGAGUUUUGGAACAUGUUAAUUUGUAAUUUAAUUUUACUUUAUUUCAAAGUGGGACAAUUAACAUUAAUCAGCAACAAACAGAUUUAAAUGAACAUGAAUCACCUUAAAGGGUUUUCUCAUUGGCACUUUGCCAGAUGUCGCUCAGUGGUAGAGGUCGGGGUUCGAUCCCCAGCUCCUCUCAGCCACAUGUCCGAUGAGUCCUUAGGCAAGACACUUAAUCCCAAGAUGCUCCUGCUGCUUCGACAGCAGAGUGUGAAUGGAUUCAUUAAUACUGAUGGUCACUUUACAUAGCAACUGUUGCCGUGUAUGUGUGACCUGCGGUGUGAAGGCCCUGACAAACCAAGCAGACUGCAAAGAACUAGUGGUGAUGAUGGCUGCCUGUGGCGUCACCUCACGUCUUGGCCAAAAAGUGUCACUAGAACACACCUCAAAGACUACAGCCGACGGCCAAUCACCACGUACGGGUAGCGACGGAUCCGGACACACCGCAAAAACUAAAGCGACGACCGCUCACAGACAGUCUCCUUUGUGGAUCAGUACCUGAAAAGCACUUUGAUCAGUCAGAAGAGUGUCAUACAAGCUCAAGUCCAUUUACCAUGUUGGCCAUUAGAAUAAAAAAACAACUCAAAAAUAGUGUAGUGAGAAAUGUUAGCUUGAAUCUAUUGCAUGUCCUUUAACACAACUUUCAAAGUAUUUUUUUGUGAUUCAUGCUUUAUAUUUAUGCUUACAUGUCAUGAGCCUCAAACUGUGUCAUACAUUCAUACUGUAGAGUAUGCUGUGUUUAAAUCUGCUGCAGCUGAAAGUUGAAAAAAAAUCAUUAAAUAAAUUGUCUUAAGA